CUUAAUUGCCAUCAUUCAGUUGGGCACUUUAGAGAGACUGCCGGUGUUAAGCCGGAGAAGGUGGGAUGACGUCAAGUCCUCAUGGCCUUUAUGUCUAGGGCUACGACACGUGCUACAAUGGGUGGUACAAAGAGCAGCUAACUCGCGAGAGUAUGCAAAUCUCAAAAAGCCAUCCUCAGUUCGGAUUGGAGUCUGCAACUCGACUCCAUGAAGUUGGAAUCGCUAGUAAUCGCGGAUCAGCAUGCCGCGGUGAAUACCGGUUCCCGGGCUUU
rnacentral:rRNA from 1 species